rnacentral:rRNA from 1 species
AACAAACGCUGGCGGCGUGCCUAAUACAUGCAAGUCGAACGGGGAAAGCUUUCGGGUGAGUACUAGUGGCGCACGGGUGAGUAAUGCGUGGAUAAUCUGCCUUGAAGAGGGGGACAACCAGUCGAAAGAUUGGCUAAUACCGCAUAAGACCACAGGAACUGAGGUUCUAGAGGUCAAAGGUUUUUCGCUUCAAGAUGAGUCCGCGUAAGAUUAGCUAGUUGGUGAGGUAACGGCUCACCAAGGCGACGAUCUUUAACUGGUCUGAGAGGAUGAUCAGUCACACUGGAACUGAGACACGGUCCAGACUCCUACGGGAGGCAGCAGUAGGGAAUAUUGCACAAUGGAGGAAACUCUGAUGCAGCGACGCCGCGUGAGUGAUGAAGGCCUUCGGGUCGUAAAGCUCUGUCGCAGGGGAAUAACACAAUGAAGGUACCCUGUAAGAAAGGAUCGGCUAACUUCGUGCCAGCCGCCGCCGUAAGAC